GGUUGACCUCGGAUCAGGUAGGGAUACCCGCUGAACUUAAGCAUAUCAAUAAGCGGAGGAAAAGAAACCAACAGGGAUUGCCUUAGUAACGGCGAGUGAAGCGGCAACAGCUCAAAUUUGAAAGCUGGCCCUUUCAGGGUCCGCAUUGUAAUUUGUAGAGGAUGAUUCGGCGAGGGCUCCCGCCUAAGUCCCCUGGAACGGGGCGUCAUAGAGGGUGAGAAUCCCGUAUGCGGUGGGCUGCCUUAGCCAUGUGAAUCUCCUUCGACGAGUCGAGUUGUUUGGGAAUGCAGCUCUAAAUGGGAGGUAAAUUUCUUCUAAAGCUAAAUACCGGCCAGAGACCGAUAGCGCACAAGUAGAGUGAUCGAAAGAUGAAAAGCACUUUGGAAAGAGAGUUAAAAAGUACGUGAAAUUGUUGAAAGGGAAGCGCUUGCAACCAGACUUGUCCGCAGUUGCUCAGCCGGUCUCCUGACCGGCGUACUCUUCUGCGGCCAGGCCAGCAUCAGUUCGGGCGGUCGGAUAAAGACCUCGGGAAUGUAGCUCCUCUCGGGGAGUGUUAUAGCCCGGGGUGGAAUGCGGCCAGCCUGGACUGAGGAUCUCGCUUCGGCAAGGAUGCUGGCGUAAUGGUUGUAAGCGGCCCGUCUUGAAACACGGACCAAGGAGUCUAACAUCUAUGCGAGUGUUUGGGUGUCAAACCCAUACGCGUAAUGAAAGUGAACGGAGGUGGGAACCCGCAAGGGUGCACCAUCGGCCGAUCCUGAUGUCUUCGGAUGGAUUUGAGCAAGAGCAUAGCUGUUGGGACCCGAAAGAUGGUGAACUAUGCCUGAAUAGGGUGAAGCCAGAGGAAACUCUGGUGGAGGCUCGCAGCGGUUCUGACGUGCAAAUCGAUCGUCAAAUUUGGGUAUAGGGGCGAAAGACUAAUCGAACCAUCUAGUAGCUGGUUCCUGCCGAAGUUU
rnacentral:rRNA from 1 species